rnacentral:rRNA from 1 species
GAUGAACGCUGGCGGCGUGCCUAAUACAUGCAAGUCGAGCGAACGGACGAGAAGCUUGCUUCUCUGAUGUUAGCGGCGGACGGGUGAGUAACACGUGGAUAACCUACCUAUAAGACUGGGAUAACUUCAGGAAACCGGAGCUAAUACCGGAUAAUAUUUUGAACCGCAUGGUUCAAAAGUGAAAGACGGUCUUGCUGUCACUUAUAGAUGGAUCCGCGCUGCAUUAGCUAGUUGGUAAGGUAACGGCUUACCAAGGCAACGAUGCUUAGCCGACCUGAGAGGGUGAUCGGCCACACUGGAACUGAGACACGGUCCAGACUCCUACGGGAGGCAGCAGUAGGGAAUCUUCCGCAAUGGGCGAAAGCCUGACGGAGCAACGCCGCGUGAGUGAUGAAGGUCUUCGGAUCGUAAAACUCUGUUAUUAGGGAAGAACAUAUGUGUAAGUAACUGUGCACAUCUUGACGGUACCUAAUCAGAAAGCCACGGCUAACUACGUG